rnacentral:lncRNA from 1 species
UGCAGAGAAGGAGGCUCUGAUCUUUGCUGUCUUCCUAUCUGUGGUUGGCUGACACAUUACUGAGGUGGAUACAAAGCCUCAGAGCGGAGGACAUCAGCCUGUUGAUUAGGGAGAUGUGAAUUCAGUUCCCAAGUUAGCACUUGGGCUUAGACCUGCACUGCACGGUGUGAUUGAUAUACGUGGAGCGGAAGCUUGGAAUGCAAAACCUUAACAUUUCUUCGGCUGUUUGCUCCUAAUGGCUGUUCAGGCACGAUUUUCCUCCUUUUGCUACCUGGUUCUUCACAGCUUUAGUAGAGGAGAGCAGAAGAGCAACACACCUGAGCAACACUUUGAGCUGAAGUGCCUA